rnacentral:rRNA from 1 species
GAUGAACGCUGACAGAAUGCUUAACACAUGCAAGUCUUUGGCGAAUCUGUGCUUGCACAGGCUAGCCAAGGCGGACGGGUGAGUAACGCGUAAAGAACUUGCCCUGCAGACAGGGAUAACAGACGGAAACGACUGAUAACACCUGAUACAGUUGCCGGCACGCAUGUGCCGGGCAAUGAAAAGAGAGGCUGCAGGAGAGCUUUGGGUCCGAUUAGCUUGUUGGUGAGGUGACGGCUCACCAAGGCGAUGAUAGGUAGCCGGCCUGAGAGGGUGAACGGCCACGAGGGGACUGGGAUACGGCAGUUACUCCUACGGGAGGCAGCAGUGAAGAAUAUUGGACAAUCGGCGCAACCCUGAUCCAGCAAUUCUGUGUGCACGAAGAAGGUUUUCGGAAUGAAAAGAGCUUUAAGCAGGGAAGAAGAAAGUGACGGUACCUGCAGAAGAAGCGACGGCUAAAUACGUG